AGAGUUUGAUCCUGGCUCAGAAUCAACGCUGGCGGCGUGCCUAACACAUGCAAGUCGAACGCGGUUAUCCAGCAAUGGAUAACUGAGUGGCGAACGGGUGAGUAACACGUGGGUGACCUACCUUCGAGUGGGGGAUAACGUCCCGAUAGGGACGCUAAUACCGCAUAACAUCCUGCCUUUGAACAGGUGGAGAUCAAAGCCGGGGAUCGCAAGACCUGGCGCUUGUUGAGGGGCCCGCGUCUGAUUAGCUAGUUGGUGAGGUAACGGCCCACCAAGGCGACGAUCAGUAUCCGGCCUGAGAGGGCGGACGGACACACUGGGACUGAGACACGGCCCAGACUCCUACGGGAGGCAGCAGUGGGGAAUUGUUCGCAAUGGGCGCAAGCCUGACGACGCAACGCCGCGUGGAGGAUGAAGGUCUUCGGGUUGUAAACCGCUUUCAGUUCCGACGAAGCGCAAGUGACGGUAGGAACAGAAGAAGGACCGGCCAACUACGUGCCAGCAGCCGCGGUAAU
rnacentral:rRNA from 1 species